rnacentral:pre_miRNA from 1 species
UUAACACAAAUUUGUAUGGAGUUGGAACAGUGCCCCUAGCGGCAAACGUAGGCAAACGUUCCAACUCCAUACAAAAUUGAGUAA